rnacentral:tRNA from 1 species
GCCCUGGUAGCUCAGCUGGAUAGAGCACGCGCCUCCUAAGCGCGGGGUCGCAGGUUCGAAUCCUGCUCAGGGCGCCA